rnacentral:sRNA from 1 species
ACGGUCUAUUUGGAAGACAAUCUGGUACAACUGCUGGUUACUCUUACUCUGCUGCUAACAAGAACAAAGCUGUGGAAUGGGAAGAGAAGGCCUUGUACGAUUACUUG